GGCAUCUUUUUUUACUGGCCAACAGCCUCGCCCUCUGAAGCCACCGUAUCAGAGGUUUUCCUCCUUGUGCUGUGUUUUGCAGGGGUUUUCUUAUUAAAGUCAUGGUUGACUGGUGCUCCUAUCUUCGCGGGCGAUUUGGGUUAUUGAAUGUCUCCAGAGCGUAAUGACGUAAGCACGUGCGUAUGCAACGUCACCAACGUGAAGGGUAAACACAGAACCACGAGUUGCAAUCAAGCCGGUGACAAGCUGUGUGCGACUGUUUAUUUCUCGUCCACUCCUUUCAACCGCGCUACUCGAGUCGUCGUUACAGAAACCCACAUUCUCCCGGUGUGUGCUCCGCUUUCCCAACCACGGAAGAAAAACACCUUGUGUAAGUGUGGUUCAGUCUCCUUUUACUUUACUUUGCAUGCCAUGGUUGUUAACGUUAAUGGUUAGAGCUAACUACAUCGGGGAAUGUUGGUAGGGUAGGCUAGAUCUGAGCACUGGGCCGACUGUUCUAGAUUGCUGAAUGCCUGUUAAUGCGAGGUUAAUUUAUUUGUGUGUAGCGUUUUACAAUUUAAUGUAUUUUACAAUUUAAUGGAUACAUCAAAUGUUACCACAUUGCACAGUGAGUUUUGUUAAGCACUACCGAACUUUACUUUGAUUAGCUUUAAACGUGUUAGCCGCUUAAACCAUCAACAUUUAGAUCGUAAUGUUAGCAUAAGAACAAUGUUUAAUUUAAAAAUUAAUAAAUGUAAAUUUUCUCGAUUCCAAUUCAAAAAUAGUAAAAUGAAAAUAAUUCAGGAUUCAAAUUAAAAAAUGUCAAACGAAAUUGCUGAUCUACAAGCUUAAAACGCGUCGACAGUAUAUGCAUUUGAGUAACUGAAUAUUCAUGUGGUUAAUGCAGGUCAAACAAAAAUGACAAAUAUUUGGUGGCCCCCCUGUAGUAACUGUGACGGCCCCUUGGGGUCCCAGACCACUUUAUGAGCCAUAAAUCGGCUCAAAGUUGAUUUAUAUAUCAUACUGUAUAACGGAUACAGCUUUGUUAAAUUAUCUUAAUUUGUUUAUUUUACCCCACAGAGUCAUGUCUCAAACACGAACCCGAAGAGGGGAAAUAAAAGAGAGAAGAAAACAAGAAGAAGACUUUGCCAGUUGAAAUCAACUUGGAGGAGGUGGAGUCAGAUAUCGAAGUUGAAGGGGUUCGAGGCGGUUUUUGUGGAACCAUGGAAAAAUUCAAGUCGGACUUGAACCAGCUAAAGGGAGAGAACCGGUUCCUCAAAGAGGAGAUUUGUCUCUUUAAGGAAGAGAACAGACUACUAAAACAGGAGCGGGAUCUCCGAAAGGAGAAGUCUCGUUCCUCUGAGGCUGGUUUAAAAGGUUCACAGAAAAGGAGUCAUGACCUUGGUGAGUCCUCUGACUCCUCUGAGCCUGAGUCCUCUUUUGAAACAAAGAAGGCUGCCAAGAAGAGAAGAAGGAAGCCAGUGUCGUCAUCAUCAUCAGAUGAGGACUCCCCGAAGAAAAAGCCAAAGAAAGCUUCAUUUGGAAAGCGAGUCAGUAGCCCAGAGGAUGUGGUCCUCUGGAAGAAGUUGGUGAGAAUAUACAAGAGGACCAGGAGCAUCCCAGAAACCUGUAGUGCCUUUGACUUGGACCGCAACACCUUUGCGGGGACUGCAGUCAUCGCAGAUGUCCUCAUUGCCGGAGAGGGUGGGGAUUUUGGAGAGCUGCCCAUAAUUGCUGAAAAACAGAGUUUCACUAGCUUUGCCAAAGUAUGCAAGGCAUUUUUGGAUGCAAACACCACCCUAAAGGAGAAAGUGGAUAAGAUGCGGAAGGCCAAUGAGCUGCUCACCAUCAAAUACAAAUUUCAGAAAUGAGGGGGCCUGGUGAAGCACCAGCCAUGUGAUAUCACAUGAUCAUGUGUCUACUGCAGACCGGUGUGGCCCAUGUGGGUGCUUGCACUAGGUUGGUGUUUUCACUUUUCAGAGACCAAAAAGUGGAAUGCCCACCCAGUGCUUGGGGCCAGACCGGUCUGCAGAAAACACAUGAUGAUGUGAAUUCCCAAGACUGGGACUGUUUACUUAGUAAUUUUUAUUUAUAGUUAUUAUUUAUCACUGUUAUUUUUCUUUUAUUUUUUGAAAAAGAAAUCUAUUCUGAUUCUUAAAAAAAAGUGCCUGACUGUUAAAAAUUUGCACUGUUUUGUAAAUUGUUUUAUAAGAAUUUGAAAUCCAUUGGAUUAAAAUGUUUAUCUUUGGCAGCUCUCUUGUUUUUGCAUAUCUGUCACAGCGAGGUGUUUUGAGUGAGGAAGUGUAAUAAUAAUGCAUUCAUCUUAAUGUAAUUUGAUGGCUGGUGAUGGUGGUUUUUGAUGGAAACUCUUA